UACGUAGGGUGCGAGCGUUGUCCGGAAUUAUUGGGCGUAAAGGGCGCGUAGGCGGGAUGGCAAGUCGGUCGUGAAAUCCCUCGGCUCAACUGAGGAUCGUCGAUCGAUACUGCCGUUCUUGAGGAUUGCAGAGGAGACUGGAAUUCCCGGUGUAGCGGUGAAAUGUGUAGAGAUCGGGAGGAACACCGGUGGCGAAGGCGGGUCUCUGGGCAAUUCCUGACGCUGAGGCGCGAAAGCGUGGGGAGCGAACAGG
rnacentral:rRNA from 1 species